CCAUCUCUACAAUGGCUUUUGAAACAUUCAAAUAACAUUUCCAUUUCAACUGUUUGACUUGACAAAGCCACAAGGUUUGAUGCCAGUUCCAAAGAAUGAAAAGAGACGAGAAGGCUGGAGAACGGGAGACGUAUCUUCCAACUAACACGGUGUAGAUUUGGCACCUUCCUCUCUUCUUUACACCAAAGGGAAAAAAGGCCACCAGAUAUAAGAAGCUUAUCACGCACCUCACCCCCGGAUACGUAUUUAAAGACGUAAUUCUGUUUGCCCUGUGAUUUGUUUAAUGGAUAACCCUACCGUUUCACUGCUUUGGAGAAAUUACAAGUUUUGCAAGACGUUAGACCCCUCCUAGGCAUUAACCAGGACAGUUGGGAUUUUUCAGGCGUACAACAUAGGGAUUCAGCAGUUUUAAACAUUGCGGAAUGCCUUCCAUGAAUGGAGAUUACGUCUAAGAGAUGGUGACGGCUGGGAAGAGUCAUGACAGAGCCUCCUGGGGGUUACGCCUUGAUCUGGAUGCUUAGACCUGAGUAUGUACCUGGAUAAAAAUCCAUCCGGCUGAGCCCCUAAAAUUAGCUCUUUUUAACUGUACCUACGCAAUACCUCAAUUUUUAACAAUCAUGUGUGUUUGAAGAAAAAUAUGUUCCCACUUUAGAGCAUCGAUAUAAACGUAGAAAUGCAAUCCUUUCAUAAAGUGAACUCUGCUUGGCAUCCUGCUUGGUGUCCGGAGAGCAUUUAUAGCUACAGCAACACCCUAGUCUUACCAGUGUCGGCGUAAUGGGUCCUGCUUGAAAUCCAAGAUUGUGUUUGUGACCUUGAACCAAGUCCCACCUCUGAGAUGCCAGAUACCAACCAUUCCCUUCACCUUCUCCUCCAAAGCAGCUCCCAGACAGAAGACUCACAGACGAACGAACCUAAACAUCCUUUCUCUUCGGACAUUAUGGUAUCGGGGCCUGUGCGGUAUCUCUGCGCAGUGUCCCCGACUGUCCGUAAGGAGUGAGAAGCGGCAGCCCCCUCGCCACCUAAGUCCUGUUUGUGUGGGAAGCCCGCCAGCGUGGUUGGUGUGCAAGCAUGCAAGCGUGUCUGCGGGCUGCUCUUGCCCCAGGCAAGCCCACGGGACCAGGGGGCACGACUAGGCCCCGUGACCUUCAAAAGUACUUGGAAGGUGUGUUCCUUGACUGUGACUCAAGCACCUCCCGUGUACAAAGCAGAGGCUUUGCUCACACCACUUGUGAGACCUCUGCAUGUUUCUUCCUUGCACGGAAGUCAUUUGUGCGCCUUGUGCCCAGGAACUUUGUUGGAAGCUGCAGCAGAAUGACUGAGUACCGGGCCCAAAUCCUGCCAAGGCCGCUUACUUGCUGUGUGACCUUAGUGAAGUGACUGCACCUCCUUGUGCCUCAGGUUCCUUAAUGUAUAAUGAGAAUACGAUCACUUUCCCCUUAAGGCCUUUGCAAAGAUUAAUUGAACUAAAAUACGUGAGGCACACUUAGGACAGUGUCUUCAUACAUGGUAGUGGAGAAAACAUUGAUAAAUUAUUAUUUUUCAUAAAAUGUGCUUUUUUUUUUCUAACAUUGUCUUUAUGCCAAUGAAUUCUCUUUGCUCGUGAUAGGGUACUUGCUUAUUCACUCACCUGUUGCUGGAUGCGGAUUAUUUCCAUCCCUUGGCUAUUAUAGUGAAUAAUGUUACUAUGACUAUUGAGAUGUUUGAAUCCCCACUUUCGCUUGUUUGGGUUUUAUAUGUAGGGAUGAGAUCACUGGAUCAUACGGUAAUUCUAUGUUUGAUUUUUUUUAGGAACCACUAAACUAUUUUCCAUGGUGGUUGCACCAUCUUGGAUUCCCACUAACAGUGCAUGAGUUCCAAUCUCUCCACAUUCUUACCAACACUUGUUGCUUUAUUUUUUCUUCAAAUGGCCAUCCUAUUGGGUAUGACACAAUAUCUCAUGAUGGUUUUGAUUUAUGUUUCCCUAAGGGCUACUAACGUUGAGCAUCUUUUCAUGUGCUUAUUGGUCACAUGUGUAUCUUCCAUGGAGAAAUGUCUGUUUAAGGCCUUUGCCCCCUGGCA